GUGGGGAAUUUUGGACAAUGGGCGCAAGCCUGAUCCAGCAAUGCCGCGUGCAGGAUGAAGGCCUUCGGGUUGUAAACUGCUUUUGUACGGAACGAAAAAGCUCUCUCUAAUACAGGGGGUGAAUGACGGUACCGUAAGAAGAAGCACCGGCUAACUACGUGCCAGCAGCCGCGGUAAUACGUAGGGUGCGAGCGUUAAUCGGAAUUACUGGUCGUAAAGCGCGCGUAGGUGGUUUGGUAAGAUGGAUGUGAAAUCCCCGGGCUCAACCUGGGAACUGCAUCCAUAACUGCCUGACUAGAGUACGGUAGAGGGUGGUGGAAUUUCCUGUGUAGCGGUGAAAUGCGUAGAUAUAGGAAGGAACACCAGUGGCGAAGGCGACCACCUGGACUGAUACUGACACUGAGGUGCGAAAGCGUGGGGAGCAAACA
rnacentral:rRNA from 1 species